AUAAUCUGCCUUGUAAAAGAGCAAUCGCGAAACACAUUGUAGUAGCCAAUUUUGGCCCAGGAAAAUAAACACAAAUAAAAUAGCUCAAAUUAAAAGUCCAUUUACAAACAAAGUUACUAACUCAAUUACAGCUCAAAAAUUAAAACCCUAAAAGUCCAACUAGCCCACUAUCCUAAAAUUUUUCAGCAACCAACCCUAGGUACCAAGACCUUCAGCCGCCGCAUACCCCUCAGCCUUGGCCACCACGCCUCACGCAUGCCCUUCAGCCUUGGUCACAACGCUCCACGCGUCUGACACUCCUAUACCCUGCAAACACAAACAACAAGAAACAGCAGCAACAACAGAAGUCAAGUAGCAGAAGAAACAAGAGCAAAAAGACAAAAAAUAGAAAAUAAAAGUCUUGUAACUUGGCUUUAAAAGCCAGAACCUGGUCAUUGAAAUUUCUUCUUCUUUUUUUAGAAAAGCUUUUUACACACACAUCAGUAAAAAAACAAGAAAACAAAAUCAAGAAAGGUUGAUUUUAGUCUCUACUUGUUCGGUUUCUUUUUGUUCAAUUUAUAUUUUUUUUAUCUUUUUAUUUUCAUUACAAAUCUAUUUUAAAUAGAAAAAUCAAUAAAAAGAAAACAAAAAGAGGAGAACCUUACCCGAACGCCCCUUGGUCGGCCAUCGAAAUUCUUCUCUCCGUCGCUGAAGUCGAUUUCAAGAGAGAAAAAGGGGUCUUUCUUUCAUAUAUCAUUUUUUUGAGGGGGGUUUUGAGGAGGCUCGGUUUUCAAACUCUUUAAACGGAGGUAAAAAACCCUCCUUUUCACUUGCCUUCAACCACCGUCCAUGGUGGCCUUAACGGCGGUGGCGAUGAUGGGUAUGAAGCCCUAGCCAAAAAGAGAGAAAUGGGGGAGAAAAGGGGAAGGAGAGAAAGCAAAAAGCUUUCUAUUUUCUUAAAAAAAAAAAGGGCUGGAAACAAAAAAAUAAAAAAGGGGGUUUUAAGUUUUUUU
rnacentral:lncRNA from 1 species